rnacentral:lncRNA from 1 species
UUCUCUAAAAAUAUUGUAAUCAAGCUCUGCAUUUGUGAACUUGUUAUGACAAACGCACAAACGGAAACGAAAAUGACGAACAUAAAAUAAUCAAAGCAUGAGAAGAAAUAAAAACAAACAUACAGAUUUACGUGAAAAACUCUUUAAAGAAAAAAAACUACGAGCGAAGGAGAAGAGAACUUCACUAUUAAAAAAGAGAAGAUACAAUGUUCGAGUACUACCAACCACGAUCUAUUGCCUCUAGGGCAAAAACGAAAAGGAAACUCUUAACGGGCUCGGGCCUCCGCUACCCACCAUAGAUAUUUAUUUUUUCUUCACAAUUUCAUUUUCCAAUUUGGUCGCACUGUGAAACUGUCGACGAAUCAAAAUUCCGAACUAAAAUGGAUUAUCAAUUUCGAAUCACAUCUAGCAUAACUAAAUAUACGCCAAUUGGUAUUUACUCACAACAAAAAAAAAAAAGGCGUGACAAAGGCUAGAGCAUUUGAAUAUGGAUUGAAAGAGAAGAAGUUUAGUAUUUAUGAUUAAUAUAUACAUAUUAUAUAUAUAGGUCCGGUUACUAUACUAUUAUGAGUAUGAUCACUCUCGUACUCAUAAAUCGUUUUCGUUGAUAGAGCUUCCAAAUCGACGAUCCAUACCGUUAAACGUUAUUUACAGUAUUUAAACCUCCUAGAAAUCAAAUUUUAUAAUUUUUCGACAUCAUUUACCUUACGAUCAAGAGGUCACAAAUUUGAUAAUUUUUAAUGGCCGGUAUGAAAUACUUGCUAGUUUAACGAUAUUAAAGAAUCGAAAUUUAUUAAAUUUUUGAUAGAAAAUUCUAUUCACUACCUAGAUAAAGAUCAAUAAUUCCGAUCUUGAAUUGAAGGAUUUGAUCAUUCUUUUUUAGGACGUCGUUCGAUUUUGACCGUUCAUUUUAUACUCGCUUGAUGGACUUUAUUAUGAUUUCGAAAAUUUACGAAAUUUAUUUUUUAGAAGUUUCAAAUACUCUAAACCAUAUUUAACGGAGUGGAUCGUCGAUUCGGAAGCUCUAUCAUCGAAAACAACUUAUGAGUACGAGGGCUCCAAUACUCAUAAUAGUAUGGUAGCCACGACUUCGUAUUAGAUAGAUCUCACAAAAUGAAAAGUUUAGAAUUAACUCUGAUACAUCUGGGCUCUGAUAAUCUACUCACGUGCAUAAGAAAUAUGAGAGAUACGUAGAAUUAAGAAAUGAAGUAGAAGAUAGAGAUUUAAUCUAUUAAAUAUCGUAGGUGAAUAUCAAAUUCCUGACAUACCUCAUAGAAUGAAAGGGGUUUAGAGUUGGUUUUAAUAAUAU